rnacentral:rRNA from 1 species
GACGAACGCUGGCGGCGUGCUUAACACAUGCAAGUCGAACGCUGAAGCUUGGUGCUUGCACUGGGUGGAUGAGUGGCGAACGGGUGAGUAAUACGUGAGUAACCUGCCCUUGACUCUGGGAUAAGCCUGGGAAACUGGGUCUAAUACUGGAUACGACAUGUCACCGCAUGGUGGUGUGUGGAAAGGGUUUUACUGGUUUUGGAUGGGCUCACGUCCUAUCAGCUUGUUGGUGGGGUAAUGGCUCACCAAGGCGACGACGGGUAGCCGGCCUGAGAGGGUGACCGGCCACACUGGGACUGAGACACGGCCCAGACUCCUACGGGAGGCAGCAGUGGGGAAUAUUGCACAAUGGGCGGAAGCCUGAUGCAGCGACGCCGCGUGAGGGAUGACGGCCUUCGGGUUGUAAACCUCUUUCAGCAAGGAAGAAGCGAAAGUGACGGUACGUGCAGAAGAAGCGCCGGCUAACUACGUG